UGCCCAGCAAAUCCUAUCCCUACCUCCUCGUGGUACUGACCGGGGUACGAGUAACCUUGGGGAAGAUCGGGUAACCAACCCCCGGUGGGAACUUUGGUCGUAUGCUGACAGGGAAGG
rnacentral:ribozyme from 1 species